GUCGAACGAAGUAGCAAUACUUAGUGGCAGACGGGUGAGUAACAUGUAGGUAUCUACCCUUUGGCCUGGAAUAACACGAGGAAACUUGUGCUAAUACCGGAUAAGUCUUUACGGAGAAAGCUUUAUGCACCAUUGGAUGAGCCUGCACUUGAUUAGUUUGUUGGUGGGGUAAUGGCCUACCAAGACUGUGAUCAAUAGCUGAUUUGAGAGGAUGAUCAGCCACAUUGGGACUGAGACACGGCCCAAACUCCUACGGGAGGCAGCAGUGGGGAAUCUUGCACAAUGGAGGAGACUCUGAUGCAGCGAUGCCGCGUGAGUGAAGAAGGCCCUUGGGUUGUAAAGCUCUUUCGUCGGGGAAGAAAAUGACUGUACCCGAAUAAGAAGGUCCGGCUAACUUCGUGCCAGCAGCCGCGGUAAUACGAAGGGACCUAGCGUAGUUCGGAAUUACUGGGCUUAAAGAGUUCGUAGGUUGUUGAAAUAGUUGGUGGUGAAAUCCCAGAGCUUAACUCUGGAACUGCCAUCAAAACUUUUCAGCUAGAGUAUGAUAGAGGAAAGCAGAAUUUCUAGUGUAGAGGUGAAAUUCGUAGAUAUUAGAAAGAAUACCAAUUGCGAAGGCAGCUUUCUGGAUCAUUACUGACACUGAGGAACGAAAGCAUGGGUAGCGAAGAGGAUUAGAUACCCUCCUAGUCCAUGCCGUAAACGAUGUGUGUUAGACGUUGGAAAUUUAUUUU
rnacentral:rRNA from 1 species